rnacentral:rRNA from 1 species
GCAUAUCAAUAAGCGGAGGAAAAGAAACCAACCGGGAUUGCCUUAGUAACGGCGAGUGAAGCGGCAAAAGCUCAAAUUUGAAAUCUGGUACCUUCGGUGCCCGAGUUGUAAUUUGGAGAGGGCAACUUUGGGGCCGUUCCUUGUCUAUGUUCCUUGGAACAGGACGUCAUAGAGGGUGAGAAUCCCGUGUGGCGAGGAGUGCGGUUCUUUGUAAAGUGCCUUCGAAGAGUCGAGUUGUUUGGGAAUGCAGCUCUAAGUGGGUGGUAAAUUCCAUCUAAAGCUAAAUAUUGGCGAGAGACCGAUAGCGAACAAGUACAGUGAUGGAAAGAUGAAAAGAACUUUGAAAAGAGAGUGAAAAAGUACGUGAAAUUGUUGAAAGGGAAGGGCAUUUGAUCAGACAUGGUGUUUUGUGCCCUCUGCUCCUUGUGGGUAGGGGAAUCUCGCAUUUCACUGGGCCAGCAUCAGUUUUGGUGGCAGGAUAAAUCCAUAGGAAUGUAGCUUGCCUCGGUAAGUAUUAUAGCCUGUGGGAAUACUGCCAGCUGGGACUGAGGACUGCGACGUAAGUUAAGGAUGCUGGCAUAAUGGUUAUAUGCCGCCCGUCUUGAAACACGGACC